GACGAACGCUGGCGGCGCGCCUAACGCAUGCAAGUCGAACGGAGUCACGAGGAGCUUGCUUUUCUUGACUUAGUGGCGAACGGGUGAGUAACGCGUGAGUAACCUGCCCUGGAGUGGGGGACAACAGUUGGAAACGACUGCUAAUACCGCAUAAGCCCACGGAUCCGCAUGGAUCUGCGGGAAAAGGAUUUAUUCGCUUCAGGAUGGACUCGCGUCCAAUUAGCUAGUUGGUGAGGUAACGGCCCACCAAGGCGACGAUUGGUAGCCGGACUGAGAGGUUGAACGGCAACAUUGGGACUGAGACACGGCCCAGACUCCUACGGGAGGCAGCAGUGGGGGAUAUUGCACAAUGGGGGAAACCCUGAUGCAGCGACGCCGCGUGGAGGAAGAAGGUUUUCGGAUUGUAAACUCCUGUCGUUAGGGACGAUAAUGACGGUACCUAACAAGAAAGCACCGGCUAACUACGUG
rnacentral:rRNA from 1 species